UACGGAGGAUGCAAGCGUUAUCCGGAAUGAUUGGGCGUAAAGCGUCCGCAGGUGGCUAUGUAAGUCUGCUGUUAAAGAGUCUAGCUCAACUAGAUAAGAGCAGUGGAAACUACAUGGCUAGAGUGCGUUCGGGGCAGAGGGAAUUCCUGGUGUAGCGGUGAAAUGCGUAGAGAUCAGGAAGAACACCGGUGGCGAAGGCGCUCUGCUAGGCCGCAACUGACACUGAGGGACGAAAGCUAGGGGAGCGAAUGGGAUUAGAUACCCCCGUAGUCC
rnacentral:rRNA from 1 species